rnacentral:rRNA from 1 species
GACGAACGCUGGCGGCGCGCUUAACACAUGCAAGUCGAGCGGGAAGGCCCUUCGGGGUACACGAGCGGCGAACGGGUGAGUAACACGUGAGCGAUCUGCCCUUCUCUUUGGAAUAACCAUUGGAAACGAUGGCUAAUGCCGAAUAUGAACCCCCUUCGCAUGUUGGGGGUUGGAAAGCUCCGGCGGAGAUGGAUGAGCUCGCGGCCUAUCAGCUUGUUGGUGAGGUAAUGGCCCACCAAGGCAUUGACGGGUAGCCGGCCUGAGAGGGUGACCGGCCACACUGGGACUGAUACACGGCCCACACUCCUACGGGAGGCAGCAGUGGGGAAUAUUGGACAAUGGGCGAAAGCCUGAUCCAGCAACGCCGCUUGAGGGAUGACGGCCUUCGGGUUGUAAACCUCUUUCAGCAGGGACGAAGCGAGGGUGACGGUACCUGCAGAAGAAGGACCGGCCAACUACGUGUCAACAGCCGCGGUAAUACGUAGGGUCCGAGCGCUGUCCGGAAUUUUUGUGCGUUAAGGGCUCGUAGGCGGUUUGUCGCGUCGGGAGUGAAAACUCAGGGCUCAACCCUGAGCGUGCUUCCGAUACGGGCUGACUAGAGGUAUGCAGGGGAGAACGGAAUUCCUGGUGUAGCGGUGGAAUGCGCAGAUAUCAGGAGGAACACCGGUGGCGAAGGCGGUUCUCUGGGCAUUACCUGACGCUGAGGAGCGAAAGCAUGGGGAGCGAACAGGAUUAGAUACCCUGGUAGUCCAUGCCGUAAACGUUGGGCGCUAGGUGUGGGGACCUUCCACGGUUUCCGUGCCGCAGCUAACGCAUUAAGCGCCCCGCCUGGGGAGUACGGCCGCAAGGCUAAAACUCAAAGGAAUUGACGGGGGCCCGCACAAGCGGCGGAGCAUGCUGAUUAAUUCGAUGCAACGCGAAGAACCUUACCUGGGUUUGACAUAUGCCGGAAAGCUGCAGAGAUGUGGCCUCCUUUUGGCCGGUAUACAGGUGGUGCAUGGCUGUCGUCAGCUCGUGUCGUGAGAUGUUGGGUUAAGUCCCGCAACGAGCGCAACCCUCGUUCUAUGUUGCCAGCACGUUAUGGUGGGGACUCAUAGGAGACUGCCGGGGUCAACUCGGAGGAAGGUGGGGAUGACGUCAAGUCUUCAUGCCCCUUAUGUCCAGGGCUUCAAGCAUGCUACAAUGGCCGGUACAAAGGGCUGCGAAACUGUAAGGUGGAGCGAAUCCCAAAAAGCCGGUCUCAGUUCGGAUUGGGGUCUGCAACUCGACCCCAUGAAGUCGGAGUCGCUAGUAAUCGCAGAUCAGCAACGCUGCGGUGAAUACGUUCCCGGGCCU